UUACAGAGAUGUAGGUAGACCUAGAUUAUCAUACUGAUUGAAGUUAAGUCAGAUAGAGAAUGACAAAUAGCGCAUGAUAUCACUUAUAUGUGGAAUCUAA